rnacentral:tRNA from 1 species
GCCCAGCUAGCUCAGUUAGUAGCGUGUGGGACUCUUGAUCUCAGGAUCAUGAGUUUGAGCCCCAUACUGGGUG